UGGUGGAGUGAUUUGUCUGGUUGAUUCCGUUAACGAACGAGACCACGACCUGCUAAAUAGUUCGGCGAAUCCUUGGAUUCGUACGUGACUUCUUAGAGGGACUAUCGGUGUGUAGCCGAUGGAAGUUCGUGGCAAUAACA
rnacentral:rRNA from 1 species